GCCAAGCUGUGGCCUUAAGCCAAUAUCUUGAGGUCAGGAAAAGAAGAAAUUCAACGUAAGGAAUGACAGUGAGCUAGGAAAAGCAGAAAGGAUGUGACCAACUGUGUCAAAUGCUGCUGAGACGUAAAACAUGAUGAAGUCCAAGAAUUGACUGGAGGGUCUGGAUGGCCGAUACUAGGCAUGCAUGUGCAUACAGAAAAGAGAGUAACCCAAUAGUGAGGAAGAAAUUGAUGCUGCAGGAGAGAGGGAAUAAUUGCCGAAGCAAAGAUCUUGAGGUACUGAGAAAGGAUGACCCUAAUUUCCUUAAUGCUGCAGCCUGCUUCCACUGAGGGACUGGAGGCUCCUUGAGCAAAAUUAUCUACCUCUUCACCUUUGGAUCUUUCACAGUUCCCAGUUCGGUGUACUACAGAUUGUACUUGCUAAAUAAAAAAUCAUUGUCAUGGUUUACCUAAAUGCCUGAAGUGUUAAUAAUAAAAAAAAAACCCUUUAUUCCCU
rnacentral:lncRNA from 1 species